GCACUUACCUGGCAGGGGAGAGACAAUGAUCAGGAGGGUUGUGCUCCCGGGAUGGAGCUAUCCAUUGUACUCCGGGUGUGCUGAUGCCUGUGAUGCCCCUAAAUGAGGUAUACUUGACUACAAAAUUUGUGGUGGUGGGGGACAGCGUUCGUGCUUUCUCCUG